UACGUAGGUGGCAAGCGUUGUCCGGAUUUACUGGGCGUAAAGGGAGCGUAGGCGGAUACUUAAGUGGGCUGUGAAAUACCUGGGCUUAACUUGGGUGCUGCAUUCCAAACUGGGUGUCUAGAGUGUUGGAGAGGAAAGUGGAAUUCCUAGUGUAGCGGUGAAAUGCGUAGAGAUUAGGAAGAACACCAGUGGCGAAGGCGACUUUCUGGACAAUAACUGACGCUGAGGCUCGAAAGCGUGGGGAGCAAACAGGAUUAGAUACCCUGGUAGUCCACGCCGUAAACGAUGGGUACUAGGUGGAGGAGGGAGCGACUCCGCCUGUGCCGCCGUUAAAACAAUAAGUACCCCGCCUGGGGAGUACGGUCGCAAGAUUAAA
rnacentral:rRNA from 1 species